CGUGAGCGAGCAGGUUACACAGUCAUAUCAUAUUUAGAGAACUUUAAUGCAGUAUAACCUUACUAAAAAACAUAAAAUAGCACAAACGAGGUUAGCUCAUAUUCGCACAGUCACCAAAUCUGUCGUGCGGAUGUUCUUCAAUUUACUGACUAAAAUAUAAUUUUGAUUACGCCCACCCCCCGCCAUAAACAUGGACAUCAAUGCAUCAGUGUUAGCAAACAUGCAUCACCUUUGUUGAGGCCCUUGGAACAUGCUUGGUACUCCCUGGGCUGCUUGACUCCAGAGAUAACAUGGCAGAUUAAAAGGAUUGUAGCAAUACGUUUUACCACAAUGGAGUUAAAAGAAGAGGUGGUCUCUCCAUUAAAGUGGUAAAUGGACCCUGGAGGAGUUUAUCAUUAUUCUAAAUGUUUGCCAUAAUUCCGAUUAAGACAUGUCAAAUGUCUACUGUGAAUUUAGCCUCUUUUACUAUGACUCAUUGCUUCGUUUUGACAGGUGCAUAAAACUAGAGUUGUUGAGUUUAAAAACCCACAGGCUAUUGUACUUAAA